rnacentral:rRNA from 1 species
UACGUAGGGGGCAAGCGUUGUCCGGAUUCAUUGGGCGUAAAGAGCGUGUAGGCGGCCAGGUAGGUCGGUUGUGAAAACUGGAGGCUCAACCUUCAGAGGUCGACCGAAACCAUCUGGCUAGAGUCCGGGAGAGGAGAGUGGAAUUCCUGGUGUAGCGGUGAAAUGCGCAGAUAUCAGGAAGAACACCAGUGGCGAAGGCGGCUCACUGGCCCGGUACUGACGCUGAUGUGCGAAAGCGUGGGGAGCAAACAGG